rnacentral:lncRNA from 10 species
AGCACUUACUACAUGCCAGGCAGUGUUUUGUGCACUUUACAUAUAUUAAUUUGUUUAAUGUUGACAGCAACUCUAAGAUAGGUACUAGAAUAAUCUUAUUUUGCAGAUAAGGGAGUUGAGGCCCAGUGAGAUUACUUAACUUGCCCAAGAUUGACACAUUCUCAGAGGCAGAGCUGGCAUUAAAAACUAGGAGGCCUAUCUACAAAGUGCUUAUUCUUAGACACUCUUCUAAGAUGCAAAUUGCUUUUAUGGGUGGUGGCAGAGUAAUCUGCUUAUGUUGAAACACGCUUUGGUUCUCAGGCUAAAUUAAUCUACAGAAACACCUUACCAAGAUGAGCAAAGGGGAAGAGAAUAAGACCUGUAAUAUGUUACUUUAUGUGUCUUAGUUCUGAAAAACAAGGAUAUAUCAAAAAAAGAAAUUAUAGAGCUGAGACGGUAGGUAGAUAAAAUUUUGACUGAGGUAGAAACUACAUUAAAAAUAGCUUCAUCAGUUUGGAAAGUGUAACUGUACACAAUGGGAGGCUGGUAAAAAUAUAUGGGCUAUUUGUACACAACUCUUUAAGAAACUGGCUUAAAGAAUUAGAUUUUAUGAGGUCAGUAUAACUGAAUUUCUCAAGAAAAUAGAAUUACCUGCCCUUGGGACAGUCACUUAAGUCACUUAGAUUUUAAGCUCUCAAAUUCUUCAACUGAAAAAUGAGGGGAUUGAAAUAGAUUAUUGCUGAACCUCUUGACAACUCCAAAACUAUAAAACUAGUGUUAUGUAACGAAUAAAACAAGCUGGAGCGAGAGGAUUCUGGAGCUAGAAAAUGCUGGUUGACUAUUCACUGUUUACCACCCGAAUGAUUGUCACAGAUUUGGUUCCCUAGGAAGCAGACUCUAAGAUUUAGAGAUUUGUGUGUGAGUGGUUUAUUGGGGAACAACACAUGAGAGGGGUGAGGCAAGUAGGGCUAGCCAGAGUGAGCAUUUGAAUUGUGAUGUAACUGCAGUAUAUGUCUGAGCCAAUUUUACUGGGGAACUCUGAGGCUGGGAUCACCGUUUAAAUAGCCCUGCCUGUUUUAAUGGACUUUUAGCUAAGAUGGAGUCUAAGGAACUAAGGCUCCAUCUAAGAAAGGGGGAUUUACCUUCCCUUCGGAAACAACUAAAGAAACAGGCAAUACAUGUGAAAAAAUGUCUUUCAAGACCCUGGACAUUAGGCAAUUAAAGAUGGCGAUUGCUAUGAGAUGGAAAACAGAGUAAGUCCUAUGACUUCUCCAGCCUAUUGCCUUAAGGGAGUUUCUAGGCCAUAGCUUAGGGAGAGGGAACCAAGAUGGAGUCCAGUGGACAUUUUGAGUUGAGGUGGAGUUGAGAGUUCUGGAAAAACACAGCGACUAUAUUUCACAUGGCAAAAUACUGCAAAGGAAAGAGUGAGAGGGAUCCCUGGAUAUCAGUGGAGGGCACUCUCGUGCACACACUGGACUGAUCGGCAUAUGUGUGUGGGGAGAUUACCAUCCAAGAGGAAUAGAGGAAACAGUGGCUGCUGUUAACUCAGGGCUACGAUUAUUGUCAUGGGACAUUGGGCGCAGUGCUCAGAAAGGUCUUGCCUCAGUGUGGGGAAAUAAUUAGCCUUAGAUUAAAUACUGAUCAAUUUUAUCCACAUCAUUUAACGGAAUCCCAGAGCAGAGCUCAGGAACACAUACAGAAAUAGAAGAAUAUCCAGUACACAAAAAGUCUGGCAUCAAAUAAAAUUAAGCAAGAAUGCAGAAAAUAAAAUUUUCUGCAUUUUGGCAUCAAAUAAAUGUCUGGCAUCAAAUGAUGUCUGGCGUCAAAUAAAAUUAAGCAAGAAUGCAGAAAAGUAGAAAAUUGUGGUUCAUAAGUAGAAUAAUCAACCAAUCAAACCAACCCAUAACUGACAUUAUGUUAAAAUAGUUAUUGGAACAAUUUAAAUGUAUCAAAGACAUUUAAAAAGAUAAGUAGAGGCGUGGAAGAUAUGAAAACAUCCAAAUCAAACUUCUGGUGAUUAAAACCACAAUGUCUGGCAUGAAAAAUACACUAGAUGAAAUUAAUAGUAGAUUAGAUAUUGCCAAAGAAAAGGUUAAUGAACCUGAUGACACAUUAAUAGAAAGUGUCAAAAAUAAAACACACAGAGAAAAGCAAUUUGUAAAAAUUAAAAUAACAUCAGAGAGUUGGAUUACUUCAAGUGGUCAAAUGUGCAUGUCAUUGGACCCUCUAAAGGAGAGGAGGAGUGAGGGAUCAAAGUAUCUGAAAAAAUAAUGGCUGAAAAUUUUUCUAAUUUUAUGCAAUCCAAGAAGGUCAAUAAGCCUCAAGAACAAGAAAAAUAAGAAAAAUCAAAUCAAGAUAGGUCUGAAUCAAUUUGGUCAAAAGCACUAAUAAAGAUAAAAAUGUUAGAAGCAGCCAGAGAUAAAAGAUGCAGUAUACACAGUGGAACAAAGGUAAGAAUUACAACAAAUUUUAUAUCGAAAAAUUGUGCAAGCUAGAAUUCAGUGGAAUACCUUAAAAUAAUUAAAAGAAACGUGGCAACUUGGGAUUCAAUAUACAGUGAAAAUAUCUUUCAAGAAUAAAAACAAGCAUACAAAACUUAAAGAAUCCUGCAGACCUGAACUAUAAAAAACGUUAAAGGAAGUCGUCAGGCAGAAAGGAAGUGACACCAGAUGGAAAGAAGAAUGAAGAAAACAGGAAAUGAAAAUUACAUGGGUAAAUAUAUGAGAUCUUUUCUUUCUUUUCUUUUUUAUUUUUCUGUAGAGACAGAGUCUCACUCUGUUUCACAGGCUGGAGUGCAUUGGUAUGGUCAUGGCUACUGAGAUUACAG